CGCAAGGAACCAGCCGUCGAAGGUGGGGGCGAUGAUUGGGGUGAAGUCGUAACAAGGUAGCCGUAUCGGAAGGUGCGGCUGGAUCACCUCCUUUCUAGGGAGA
rnacentral:rRNA from 1 species